GGAACCCUAAGAUCAGCUGUAGUGGCUCUGCAUGGGGAGAAGAAUCACAGCUUUCUAUUGUGUGGAAACAGUGGUUCAGAGGGUGCACUUCAGGACUGUUAAAUGAAGGUGGUGAGAUGUACUGGAUUAAUCCCUGUGCAAAGAUAUCUUCAGAUUACUGGACUGACCACAUCAGCCUUUCGUGAGGUCUGCCUAAAGAAGACUAACGAAUUCAGUGCAGCGUCCUGAGAAGCUCUGCAGUCACUGUCCAGGUGGGUCAGUGGGAGCAGAAGCCCUCUGCUAAUGUACAGGCCCUGAUCAGCACCAUCCAGGAAGACCCACACAACCUCUAACUGCUGGAGCUUUUUGUUUGCCUGUGACUGGAGAGUCAGAUUUCUGUUGGGGGGUUACAGCUCGCUGUGCUGGAGAAACUGCUUCACACCUGCAGAGCUUUCGAGAGGAAGCAGCAGACAGUUUGUGGGGUUUGGGCUCACAGAUGGUGACAGCACAGAGAGACUGUGGUCCUUCCCCUGAAGAGCUGCAGGAGUCACAGAGGAGAUGACACCAUCUCACUGUCUGGACUUGCUGACUGAUGUUCUUCUGCACUGCAGAUGCUGAGUGUGACCUCAGAGGCCAGCUGGUCUGCAGAGUUACAAGUGAAUCAAGGCAGAGGACAGUCUGCCUGCAGCUUCAAAGAAAACAUUCAGAUGGGCAGGAUCUCCGCAUCAGACUGUCCAAACAGGCACCAGCUGUUUGUGCAGACUGAGACAGACAACAAAAGAAAACAGCAGCUUCUGUGGCCUCCACAGGUCAAAGGUGACGUUUCAAGGGGUCUUCAAAGAAGAAGGGACUGAUGUCGUGUCGAUCAGUGAUUAUGAAGAUGACAGCGAGAGCAGCUAUGACUGUAAAAGUCUGAUCACGACUGUUUUGCUGCUUCCUGAUUAUUAAUGAAUGUUCUGAGCGUGUUUGCGUCUUUUGUCAUUAAUUCUUUUGUCGUCAUUUAAUCGUCAUAAAAUUCACCAAACUCAGUUUGUGUUGUUUAAUUUUUACAGGCCACACCCACUGCACAUAAGAAAACACUCAUUUUAAUCGCUGAUGACUCAGUGACUUUAUAAAAGCUUUUAUAGUCCAGCCUUUGACUAUUAACACUUACCAUAUUGUACCUGUACAGCAUGGUUUUGUACACGUAUGAGAUUUUUUUCAUGUUGAAGUCAUUUCCUGAUUUAUUUUGUAAUCUUUGUUGGUUUUCUCUUAUUUGGAACUGAUUGUGAGUCAGUGUGUAACCUCACGUGUUUCCCUUUAUUCCACAUGACUUUAAGUUUUUUGAUCUGUUUAUUUAAAUUUCCGUUUCAUUUUGAUCUGUAUUGUGUGACCCUUGCAGACUGGUUUGUGGGCUGCUUGCCUUGCUGUGUGUAACCACUGCCUGUUUUUGACUAAAGAUUUGGAUUUUUGACUUUUA